rnacentral:tRNA from 1 species
GUCCCGUUCAUCUAGAGGCCUAGGAUAUCGCCCUUUCACGGCGAGUACAGGGGUUCGACUCCCCUACGGGACGCCA